CAGCACCGGCCGGCACGUGGCACGCGGUUUUUCUGGGCUUUUGGCCUCUUCCCCCUAGGCUCGCACCCCCACCACCACCCGAUUCCCGGAACCCGCCCCAUUUCCGCCUCCUCCUUCGCCUUCGCGGCUUCGCCUCUCUCCCACACAUGCAUCGCCAUCGCCGUCAUCGUCAGGACUAAGCUCUGCUCUGCAUCUGCACCACCACCCAGCUGCAGCCGAACAAGAAGACGAGCAUCUCAUCUCAUCUCAUCUGCCGAUCGAUCGAUUCGCUGCAGGGAGAGCUGAACAAUGGAGUUCGUGUUGAUCAUCUCGCUGCCGCUCCUCAUCCUGAUCAUAAUCGUCGCGGUGGUUCUCUGCAUCAUCUGCCGCUAGCUGAAUGGUGACACCUCAUUGUUCUUCCUGCCCAUAUCUUGAUGUGAACAUAUCAUGUAUCAAUUGAUUAGUAUCUCAUGACUCACAACAGAGCAGUCUCGUACUCUCUUUGGGGGGCCAGUGUGGUUGUGAUUAGUUUGGCCCUAGCUUUGAUGAGCAAAAAGACAUUGAUUCUGAAUGUCAUACAUACAUAUGUGCUGUGAGAAUCCCCUCUCUGCUUUGGUUCGUUUUUGAUAUUAUUCAUACGGGAGAUCGGACAGCUGAAAGCAUGAUAUUCUCAUUCUCUUUGUCAUUCUUCUGAAGAUCAGAAGCAUCAUCUGCUUUGUGUUGUUCUGUACCAUUUUGUUCAUGCCGCCCCAUGAGAAGAAAAAGCCACAUAGUGACCAUACUUUUGAGCAGGAAACGCAAAGAGAAGCCUGAUGAGAAAGGAACAUGUGGACUGUUUGGUACGCCUUGUUCUCACGCCUUUUGUGUGAGAUCUUUGCUUUUGCAAAAAUAUAUAUACAUGCAUAUAGUGCAUAUGCUUUUGUC
rnacentral:lncRNA from 1 species